UUCACCAACAUGUUUCAUGUAGAUUUACCUUCCUACACCGUUUGGUUCCAACUCUAUCCACCAAGUGCCUUGUUUUGGAGCGAAACUCUGCAGAAAGGCAUAUCUUCAGCAGGAGGGCUGGUGACCUCUGCUAUAUACCCUCUAACACAGUCUAACCGGGCGGAGGGGGGCUGCCGUAGCAAUGGGACCCCAUAAGGAACCUCGUCAGGGACUUUGUAACCAAUGGCUCUGUUGUCCCAUGAGGGAUCCUGUAACCCUGUGACCUCCUGAGGGACCCUGUUCAACAGAGGUAAAGGACACAUACUCGCACACAGAAGAUAGAUAACAAGGAACAGUCACUGGCUACAUGCACUUCGAUGUCUC